GUUUCGAAUUCUAAAGCCAUAAUUGUUUUUGCUUAGUUAGUUAGUUAGUUUGUGUAGUUAGUCUUAAUAAAAUUAACAAGACAAUAUUCGUGAGUUUUGAUAAACUUAUUCUUCAAAAAUUUCUUUGUUAUUACCGACUUUAAAUGUUUUCGAUUAGAAUACGUAAUAUCUGUGUAACUUAAUGUGUACAAAAACAAGGAACUUCACAAAAUACAAAAAUAAACUUGUUAAAAAUUUAAUAGCAUUCUAAAGUAAUAACCAAAAGAAAUAUUUUAGUCGCGGUGAUUCUGAUCAGGACAUGAGGCCAAGAAAAAAAGGGCGCGAUACGUCUUAAUCGAAGUCGAUGAGGGUGAACGUAGCGCCUAAAAAACGUGGGGACCGAAGUUUAUUUGAGAAUAUUGCUUACAUUGUUUUUAUUCAACAUUUGUAAUUUAUUUGUUGCAACAUAAUUGAAUACGUAGUUUUGCUAAGUGAUUUCAUAGAAUUUAAUUUAAAAUUUUCGUUUAUAUAAAUUAACCGUUUAACUGAAAGUUUUCUUGUUUUUAUUUUUAUUGUUAUAGGACAUGAGUUAAGGCAGUCAAAACUGUAGAACUAUUUAUAAUAAAUUUUAAGAAAGACAAAAGAUAUAAAUAAUAAAAAUUAUUAUACAAAAUUUUUAAAUUUAAAUUUUAUUUAAUUUAUAUUAAAAUAGUUAAUCUAUUA